UCUCCGUAGGUGAACCUGCGGAGGGAUCAUUACAGAGUUCAUGCCCUAACGGGUAGAUCUCCCACCCUAUGUUAUCAUCACUUUGUUGCUUUGGCGGGCCGUCAGGCCUCGGUUUGGCUACCGGCUCUCGCUGGUAAGCGCCCGCCAGAGAACCCCAAACCCUGAAUAUCAGUGUCGUCUGAGUACUAUAUAAUAGUUAAAACUUCCAACAACGGAUCUCUUGGUUCUG
rnacentral:misc_RNA from 1 species